rnacentral:rRNA from 1 species
UACGGGGGGGGCGAGCGUUGUUCGGAAUUACUGGGCGUAAAGGGUUUGUAGGUGGUCUGCUAAGUCAGACGUGAAAUCCCUCAGCUUAACUGGGGAACUGCGUCUGAUACUGGCGGACUUGAGGACAGGAGAGGAACGCGGAAUUCCAGGUGUGGCGGUGAAAUGCGUAGAUAGUCUGGAGGAACACCGGUGGCGAAGGCGGCUCACUGGCCCGGUACUGACGCUGAGGUGCGAAAGCGUGGGGAGCAACAGG